rnacentral:tRNA from 1 species
AUCUUUCUAGUAUUUAAAGUUAGUACAAAUGACUUCCAAUCAUUUAGUUUUGGUUAAAAUCCAAGGAAAGAUA